AACCUAACUUUGUAUAUACAUCACUUUACAAAGGAAUCAAUGGUAGAGAAUCUGAUGAGGUAAGAGGGGUUUCUUGAGUCAUUUUUGGUGGGUUUUUUUAAGGGUAUCCAUGUGAGUUAAUCAAGCAUGCCCUAGUGGGAUGGGUUUGGUAAUGAUGGAGUGUAUAUAUUUUGUACAUGUAUAUGACUUUGUUGCGACUUGUGAGGUUCUUGUGAGCUCUCUGUUUUGUAAUUUUCUACCCCUCUUUACCUGCAACCUUCCCUCCUU
rnacentral:lncRNA from 1 species